GGAGAGAUGCUCGAGUGGUUGAAGAGGCACGCCUGGAAAGCGUGUAUACGCCAAAAGUGUAUCGGGGGUUCGAAUCCCCCUCUCUCCGCAA
rnacentral:tRNA from 6 species